rnacentral:rRNA from 1 species
UCAAGCUACAAAGGGCGCAUGGUGAAUGCCUUGGCAUCAGGAGCCGAUGAAGGACGUGAUAAGCUGCGAUAAGCUUCGGGUAGGCGCACAUAGCCUGAGAUCCGAAGAUCUCCGAAUGAGGAAACUCACAUGGGAAACCCCAUGUAUCAUUAAGUGAAUACAUAGCUUAAUGAAGGUAACCCAGGGAACUGAAACAUCUAAGUACCUGGAGGAAGAGAAAGAAAAAUCGAUUUUCUUAGUAGCGGCGAGCGAAAGGGAAAGAGCCCAAACCGGAAACUUGUUUCCGGGGUUGUGGACAUAACAUAGAAGUGGAGGCUAUUGUAACUGAAGAGAACUGGAAAGUUCCACCGUAGAAGGUAAUAGUCCUGUAAGUGAAACAAGAAGACCACGAGUUAUGAUCCAGAGUACCACGAGACACGUGAAACCUUGUGGGAAGCAGGGAGGACCACCUCCCAAGGCUAAAUACUACCUGAUGACCGAUAGUGAAGCAGUACCGUGAGGGAAAGGUGAAAAGAACCCCGGGAGGGGAGUGAAAUAGAACCUGAAACCGUGUGCCUACAACCGCUCAGAGCCCCUUAUGAGGGUGAUGAGGUGCUUUUUGUAGAACGAGCCAACGAGUUACGGUAUGUAGCAAGGUUAAGUACUUAAGGUACGGAGCCGAAGGGAAACCGAGUCUGAAUAGGGCGACUAGUUGCAUGCCGUAGACCCGAAACCGGGUGACCUAUCCAUGGCCAGGUUGAAGCGAGGGUAAAACCUCGUGGAGGACCGAACCACGUUGCUGUUGAAAAAGCAUGGGAUGAGCUGUGGAUAGCGGAGAAAUUCCAAUCGAACCCGGAGAUAGCUGGUUCUCUCCGAAAUAGCUUUAGGGCUAGCGUCGAGUAUGAGUAGUGGAGGUAGAGCACUGAAUGGGCUAGGGGGCAUAGCGCUUACCGAACCUUAUCAAACUCCGAAUGCCACAUACUUUGAGCUCGGCAGUCAGACUACGAAUGAUAGAUCCGUGGUCAAAAGGGAAACAGCCCAGAUCGUCAGCUAAGGUCCCAAAGUGUAAGUUAAGUGGGAAAGGAUGUGAGAUUUCUAAGACAACUAGGAUGUUGGCUUAGAAGCAGCCAUUCAUUAAAAGAGUGGCGUAAUAGCUCACUAGUCGAGAGAUCUUGCGCCGAAAAUGUAACGGGGCUAAACUUACCACCGAAGCUACGGGCUUGAACUUAGUUCAAGCGGUAGGAGAGCGUCGUAACCGGGCUGAAGUCGUACCGUAAGGAGCGGUGGACUGGUUACGAGUGAGAAUGUUGGCAUCAGUAGCGAGAUGUGGGUGAGAAUCCCACAGGCCGAAAACCUAAGGUUUCCUCAGGAAGGUUCGUCCGCUGAGGGUUAGUCGGGACCUAAGCCGAGGCCGAAAGGCGUAGGUGAUGGACAACUGGUUGAUAUUCCAGUACCACUACCAUCGUUAUUAUCGAUGGCGUGACGCAGGAGGAUAGUGUGUGCUAGCUAUUGGAUGCUAGUCUAAGCGUUUAGGCAGUGAGAGUAGGCAAACCCGCUCUCAUAAUGCUGAGGCGUGAUGGGGAAGGUUCUACGGAACCGAAGUACAUGAUUCCACGCUGCCAAGAAAAGCGUCUAGAGAGAGAAGUAGUGCCCGUACCGCAAACCGACACAGGUAGGUGAGGAGAGAAUCCUAAGGCCGGCGGAAGAAUUACAGUUAAGGAACUCGGCAAAUUGACCCCGUAAGUUCGCGAGAAGGGGUGCCUACGAGAGUAGGCCGCAGAGAAUAGGCCCAAGCAACUGUUUAGCAAAAACACAGGUCUCUGCUAAAGCGUAAGCUGAUGUAUAGGGGCUGACGCCUGCCCGGUGCUGGAAGGUUAAGGGGAACACUUAGCGCAAGCGAAGGUGUGAACUUAAGCCCCAGUAAACGGCGGCCGUAACUAUAACGGUCCUAAGGUAGCGAAAUUCCUUGUCAGGUAAGUUCUGACCCGCACGAAUGGCGUAAUGACUUGGGCACUGUCUCAACUGUAAAUCCGGCGAAGUUGUAGUGCGAGUGAAGAUGCUCGCUACCCGCGAUUGGACGGAAAGACCCCGUAGAGCUUUACUGUAGCUUAGCAUUGAGUUUUGGUAUUGUCUGUACAGGAUAGGUGGGAGACUAGGAAACCAGGGCGUCAGCCUUGGUGGAGUCAA